AGAGUUUGAUCAUGGCUCAGAUUGAACGCUGGCGGCAGGCCUAACACAUGCAAGUCGAGCGGUAGCACAGAGAGCUUGCUCUCGGGUGACGAGCGGCGGACGGGUGAGUAAUGUCUGGGAAACUGCCUGAUGGAGGGGGAUAACUACUGGAAACGGUAGCUAAUACCGCAUAAUGUCGCAAGACCAAAGUGGGGGACCUUCGGGCCUCAUGCCAUCAGAUGUGCCCAGAUGGGAUUAGCUAGUAGGUGGGGUAACGGCUCACCUAGGCGACGAUCCCUAGCUGGUCUGAGAGGAUGACCAGCCACACUGGAACUGAGACACGGUCCAGACUCCUACGGGAGGCAGCAGUGGGGAAUAUUGCACAAUGGGCGCAAGCCUGAUGCAGCCAUGCCGCGUGUGUGAAGAAGGCCUUCGGGUUGUAAAGCACUUUCAGCGGGGAGGAAGGCGNCGAUUGACGUUACCCGCAGAAGAAGCACCGGCUAACUCCGUGCCAGCAGCCGCGGUAAUACGGAGGGUGCAAGCGUUAAUCGGAAUUACUGGGCGUAAAGCGCACGCAGGCGGUCUGUCAAGUCGGAUGUGAAAUCCCCGGGCUUAACCUGGGAACUGCAUUCGAAACUGGCAGGCUAGAGUCUUGUAGAGGGGGGUAGAAUUCCAGGUGUAGCGGUGAAAUGCGUAGAGAUCUGGAGGAAUACCGGUGGCGAAGGCGGCCCCCUGGACAAAGACUGACGCUCAGGUGCGAAAGCGUGGGGAGCAAACAGGAUUAGAUACCCUGGUAGUCCACGCCGUAAACGAUGUCGAUUUGGAGGUUGUGCCCUUGAGGCGUGGCUUCCGGAGCUAACGCGUUAAAUCGACCGCCUGGGGAGUACGGCCGCAAGGUUAAAACUCAAAUGAAUUGACGGGGGCCCGCACAAGCGGUGGAGCAUGUGGUUUAAUUCGAUGCAACGCGAAGAACCUUACCUGGUCUUGACAUCCACAGAACUUUCCAGAGAUGGAUUGGUGCCUUCGGGAACUGUGAGACAGGUGCUGCAUGGCUGUCGUCAGCUCGUGUUGUGAAAUGUUGGGUUAAGUCCCGCAACGAGCGCAACCCUUAUCCUUUGUUGCCAGCGGUCCGGCCGGGAACUCAAAGGAGACUGCCAGUGAUAAACUGGAGGAAGGUGGGGAUGACGUCAAGUCAUCAUGGCCCUUACGACCAGGGCUACACACGUGCUACAAUGGCAUAUACAAAGAGAAGCGACCUCGCGAGAGCAAGCGGACCUCAUAAAGUAUGUCGUAGUCCGGAUUGGAGUCUGCAACUCGACUCCAUGAAGUCGGAAUCGCUAGUAAUCGUAGAUCAGAAUGCUACGGUGAAUACGUUCCCGGGCCUUGUACACACCGCCCGUCACACCAUGGGAGUGGGUUGCAAAAGAAGUAGGUAGCUUAACCUUCGGGAGGGCGCUUACCACUUUGUGAUUCAUGACUGGGGUGAAGUCGUAACAAGGUAACCGUAGGGGAACCUGCGGUUGGAUCACCU
rnacentral:rRNA from 1 species